UACGGAGGGUGCAAGCGUUAUCCGGAUUCACUGGGUUUAAAGGGUGCGUAGGCGGCUAUUUAAGUCAGUGGUGAAAGCUUACAGCUUAACUGUGAAACUGCCAUUGAAACUGAAUAGCUUGAGUACGAUUGAUGUGGGCGGAAUACAUCAUGUAGUGGUGAAAUGCUUAGAUAUGACACAGAACACCGAUUGCGUAGGCAGCUCACUAAACUACAACUGACGCUGAGGCACGAAAGCAUGGGGAUCAAACAGG
rnacentral:rRNA from 1 species